UACGUAGGGUGCAAGCGUUGUCCGGAAUUAUUGGGCGUAAAGAGCUUGUAGGCGGUUUGUCGCGUCUGCUGUGAAAUUUCGGGGCUCAACCCCGAACUUGCAGUGGGUACGGGCAGACUAGAGUGUGGUAGGGGAGACUGGAAUUCCUGGUGCAGCGGUGAAAUGCGCAGAUAUCAGGAGGAACACCGAUGGCGAAGGCAGGUCUCUGGGCCAUAACUGACGCUGAGAAGCGAAAGCAUGGGGAGCGAACAGG
rnacentral:rRNA from 1 species